rnacentral:lncRNA from 1 species
CACAUUGCAGUGCUCGGUCCCUUUGUGGGGUUGGGAUGGACAGAAUUUUUGGCAUUGGGCGUAAGCGUGGCUGUACCGCCAGAUUCAUGCAGGACCUUUUGCAUGGGCGAGGGAGAGUUUUUCGGGAGCGGUCGGUCCCCCCAGCACAGCCUGGCUCUCCUCCCUGUCCAGCGCUUCUGUCACGCGGUCCCGGUUCCCUGUGUCAUGCGGGCUCCACUCAGAUUCUAUUGUUGGAUCCAUCCUUGGACUGGCGGGUGGGAGCGGCGCUUUCAGAAGAGCCCCCACUAUCUUCAGUUUACUACGGAAUAAUAAAACU